GUGCCCUUUUAAGGUUGAUGCAAUGCUUUAAGAAGCUAAUACAGAAGUGUAAAGUAAGUCUCCAUAAAACCCAGAGAAGAGACAAAAAAAUUCCUAUGAGGAUUCACAGCUGAGCCAGAAAA